rnacentral:rRNA from 1 species
UGGGGAAUAUUGGGCAAUGGGCGAAAGCCUGACCCAGCAACGCCGCGUGAAGGAAGAAGGCCUUCGGGUUGUAAACUUCUUUUAGCAGGGACGAAGGACGUGACGGUACCUGCAGAAAAAGCAACGGCUAACUACGUGCCAGCAGCCGCGGUAAUACGUAGGUUGCAAGCGUUGUCCGGAUUUACUGGGUGUAAAGGGCGUGUAGGCGGAACUGCAAGUCAGAUGUGAAAUCCUGGGGCUCAACCCCGGAACUGCAUUUGAAACUGUAGUCCUUGAGUAUCGGAGAGGCAAGCGGAAUUCCUAGUGUAGCGGUGAAAUGCGUAGAUAUUAGGAGGAACACCAGUGGCGAAGGCGGCUUGCUGGACGACAACUGACGCUGAGGCGCGAAAGCGUGGGGAGCAAACAGGAUUAGAUACCCUGGUAGUCCACGCUGUAAACGAUGAAUACUAGGUGUGGGAGGACUGACCCCUUCCGUGCCGCAGUUAACACAAUAAGUAUUCCACCUGGGGAGUACGACCGCAAGGUUGAAACUCAAAGGAAUUGACGGGGGCCCGCACAAGCAGUGGAUUAUGUGGUUUAAUUCGACGCAACGCGAAGAACCUUACCAGGACUUGACAUCCAACUAACGAAGUAGAGAUACAUUAGGUGCCCUUCGGGGAAAGUUGAGACAGGUGGUGCAUGGUUGUCGUCAGCUCGUGUCGUGAGAUGUUGGGUUAAGUCCCGCAACGAGCGCAACCCCUAUUGUUAGUUGCUACGAAAGAGCACUCUAGCGAGACUGCCGUUGACAAAACGGAGGAAGGCGGGGACGACGUCAAAUCAUCAUGCCCCUUAUGUCCUGGGCUACACACGUAAUACAAUGGUGGAAACAGAGGGAAGCAAAGCCGCGAGGUGGAGCAAAUCCCUAAAAGCCAUCUCAGUUCGGAUUGCAGGCUGCAACUCGCCUGCAUGAAGCUGGAAUUGCUAGUAAUCGCGGAUCAGCAUGCCGCGGUGAAUACGUUCCC